rnacentral:rRNA from 1 species
CGAACGCUGGCGGCGUGCUUAACACAUGCAAGUCGAACGGAAAGGCCCUGCUUUUGUGGGGUGCUCGAGUGGCGAACGGGUGAGUAACACGUGAGUAACCUGCCCUUGACUUUGGGAUAACUUCAGGAAACUGGGGCUAAUACCGGAUAGGAGCUCCUGCUGCAUGGGGGGGGUUGGAAAGUUUCGGCGGUUGGGGAUGGACUCGCGGCUUAUCAGCUUGUUGGUGGGGUAGUGGCUUACCAAGGCUUUGACGGGUAGCCGGCCUGAGAGGGUGACCGGCCACAUUGGGACUGAGAUACGGCCCAGACUCCUACGGGAGGCAGCGGUGGGGAAUAUUGCACAAUGGGCGGAAGCCUGAUGCAGCAACGCCGCGUGCGGGAUGACGGCCUUCGGGUUGUAAACCGCUUUCGCCUGUGACGAAGCGUGAGUGACGGUAAUGGGUAAAGAAGCACCGGCUAACUACGUG